CCGUGCGGGGGCGGGGCGGGGCGGGACCGUGCGGGGCGGCGGGGGUGGCCGGGGGGAGCCCGGGGCUGCGGGGAGCCCCAGUGGGCUGAGGGGAGCCGGGGGCUGAGGAGGACAUGGGACUGAGGCGAUCCCUGAGACUGAGGGGGACACGGGGCUGCAGGGAGCCCCUGGGCUGAGGGGAGCCCUGGGCUGAGGGGGACACGGGGCUGCAGGGAGCCCCUGGGCUGAGGGGAGCCCUGGGCUGAGGGGGACACGGGGCUGCAGGGAGCCCCUGGGCUGAGGGGAGCCCUGGGCUGAGGGGGACACGGGGCUGCAGGGAGCCCCUGGGCUGAGGGGGACACGGGGCUGCAGGGAGCCCCUGGGCUGAGGGGAGCCCUGGGCUGAGGGGAACAAGGGGCCAAGCGGGGCUGUGCCAAGCCCAGGGCCAAGGAGGAGCCGGGGGGGCCAGAGGAACCUCAAAGCUAAGGGGCGCAGGCCAAGGCUAACCUUUCUCAUCUCUUCCGCAGGGUGAUUGCGGGGGGUCGAGCAGGGCAUAUAACACCUCUCUGUUUUAAACCCGAGUCUCGUUUCUGGAGAGAUUCAGGCUCCUCACCGCUGUGUCGGGGGCCUCCUUCCCACUGAAACCUCACGGCGGGAGCCCAGGUGCUCCCAGCACUUUUGGAGAGCCGCAGCACUGCCACCAUGGGCACUGGGCCACCUGCACUGCGCGAGCCUUGCCUGGAACGGGACAACGGGAAUAGUAAGGUUCGCGGCUCCGCAGGGCGAAGCAGUCAGCGUUCAGGAACCCGAGCAGCAGCAAACGCCGCGCAGCAUAUACACGGAUCCCUCGGAUUUAAGUCCCAGAUGUGACCGGCCUGUCCCAAAUGGGUAGCGCUGCGCUGCUGCGCUCGCGUGGAUCCAUGGAACCUCGAGCACCUGCUUGUUCAGCACUUGCCAGAGCAGUGUUUUGAGCUCUGAAAGGGAAAAUGACCAUGUAUAUUAUUAAAAACAGUGACUAAAAUGUGUGUGUUAAGUCAAACAUAAAACAAAGAGGACUAUCGACGCUUUUUUUUUUAAUUUAUGAAAGCGUUGGUGGUUUUUUUGAAAUAAAGGUGGUUUCAUUAGAAGCUCCUCCUGCAUGA